CUCCUCUGCCGCGCAUCCGGCUUUGACUUCAGCCAAUUCGGGAUGGGCUGGUACCGCCAGAAACCCGGGCAGGCGCUGGAAUACAUCGCAGCUAUCAACAGCGAUGGCAGCAGCACCUACUACGCGUCGUCGGUCAAGGGCCGGUUCACGAUCUCCAGGGACAACGGGCAGAGCUCGCUGACGCUGACCAUGAACAGCCUCAGGGACGAGGAUUCCGCCACCUAUUUCUGUGCCAAGUCUCCUAAUACUGGUACUGCUGCUGGUGCUGGUUAUAUUGACGCGUGGGGCAGCGGCACGAUCGUCACGGUCUCGAGCGCGGCCGCCCAGCGCGCCCCCGACCUGUUCCCGCUGUCGCCCUGCGGCUCGGCCCCCGGCGCCUCCCUGUUCUCCGUCGGCUGCGUCGCCGUCGGCUUCACGCCCGCCCAGCUCGCCUUCUCCUGGAUGGACCGCGACAACCGCAGCGUGGCCAGCGCCGCCGAAUUCCGGCCCAUCCCCAGCUCCGGAACCUUCGUGGCCGCCUCGCGCCUCGGGAUGGCCCUGGAGGAGGGCAAAUCCCGGCAGCCCUUCCUGUGCCGCGCCACCCACCCCAAGGGCAUCCGCAGCGUCCUCGUCUCCAACCCAGGCUCCGGCUCCGGCGCCCUGAUCCAGGCGGUGCCCGUGGUCACCCUGCACCCGCCGUCCCGCGAGGACUUCCAGGGGCCCUACCGCAACUCCACCCUCCUGUGCCAGAUCCGGGGGCCCCGGCGCCUGCCUGGCGCCGGCCCCAUCCGCUGGCUGAAGAACGGGAGCCCCCUGAAGGAAGGGGUGACCCCGGAAGGGCCGGUCCAGGAAGGUUCCGGGCUCUACGUCACCGGCAGCCGCGUGGUGGUCACCGAGACCGAGUGGGACCGCGGCGAUGUCUUCACGUGCCAGGCGGACAAGGAGAUGAGGAACACCAGCAAGGCCAUGGAGUGCGGAUAUGACCAACCCCUGGCCACCGGCGACAUCCGCGUGGAGCCGGUGGCGCCGCUCUUCGCCGACAUCUUCCGGGAGCAGGCGGCCCGGCUGACGUGCCGCGUGUCCAACCUGGCCACGGCCGGCGAGGGCCUGGAGGUCACCUGGAUCAAGGAGGACGGCGAGGCCUUGGCCACCAAGACGUCAUUGCCGGUGCUGCAGCCCAACGGCCUCUUCGGCGCCGAGGGCGUGGCCACGGUGGGCACCGAGGUCUGGGAGUCCGGCCAGGUCUUCACGUGCCGCGUGUCCCACCCGGACCUGCUCUUCCCCAGGGAGGUCACCAUGAAGAAGACGACGGCCCCGGACGCGGCGCCGCCGUCGCUCUACGUCCUCCCGCCGCCGGCCGAGCAGCUGCGCCAGCGCGGUUGGGCCACGCUCACCUGCCUGGUGCGCGACUUCAACCCUGCGGACCUGCUGCUGCAGUGGCUGCGCGACGGCGAGCCGCUCCCGGCCGCGCGUGCCGUCACCUUCCGGCCGCGCCCCGACACCGGCCACGCCCCGGCCGGCCACACCUUCGUGGCCGUCAGCGCCCUGACCGUGCCGGCGCGCGACUGGGACGCCGGCCACGUCUACACGUGCCUGGUGGGCCACGAGCGGCUCCCGCUGCGCCUGGCCCAGAAAUCCCUGGACAAGGCCUCCGGUAAACCCGCCAACGUCAACGUCUCCCUCGUGCUCGCCGACGCCUCCAGCGCCUGUUACUGAACCCGGGGGGUGUUUUCCCGCC